rnacentral:rRNA from 1 species
CCUACGGGCGGCAGCAGUGAGGAAUAUUGGUCAAUGGGCGCGAGCCUGAACCAGCCAAGUCGCGUGAGGGAUGAAGGUUCUAUGGAUCGUAAACCUCUUUUAUAAGGGAAUAAAAUGUGGGACGUGUCCUCUUUUUUGUGUACCUUAUGAAUAAGAAUCGGCUAACUCCGUGACCGCACCCGCGGUAAUACGGAGGAUCCGAGCGUUUUCCGGAUUUAUUGUGUUUAAAGGGUGCGUAGGCGGCCUUUUAAGUCAGCGGUGAAAGUGUGUGGCUCAACCAUAGAAUUGCAGUUGAAACUGGGGGGCUUGAGUAUGUUUGAGGAAGGCGGAAGGCGUGGUGUAGCGGUGAAAUGCUUAGAUAUCACGCAGAACCCCGAUUGCGAAGGCAGCGUGCCAGGCCAUGACUGACGCUGAGGCACGAAAGCGUGGGGAUCAAACAGGAUUAGAUACCCGGGUAGUC